rnacentral:rRNA from 1 species
AUGGCAUUUACCCCAUCGAGCUUCAGUCUUGGCAUCAGUCAAGAUCAACCGGUGGUGCAAGAUCCGUUGCCAGUUGCAUUUGCUUUCCCAGGAGGCAUGCCCGCAAUGAUGGCGCAAACAAUGGUCGAGGGCAGGAAGGCUGUCAAGUUUGCGGAGCCAAUUGUGCAAGGCACCCCUGAGGAAAUUUCACCGUCACUUGACGAAGCUUACCGCAAGAUCGAGGAGGCAGCAUUGCAGAGGAGGACCUCGCGAGGGCAAGGGCAAUCAAGUUCCAACUUGCCUGCAGAGACGGCAUCUGAGGAUACCAUCAGAAGUGCCACCCCUUGUUCUAUGAGACAGCAGAGGGUAGUUCACCCACCUCCCGUGGAAGACUACGAGCCCGAAUUCAGGGCCACUAAGGAACAGACCCAGCUGUACGACAUCAUCAAGCGGUUUGGAAAUGUGAGGGCCAGCAGCAAGCACAUGAAGGAGUUGAAAGCAACCAAAGUCAUUCAAUGUGGAGCGACGUACGUCGACCUGGGUGAUCUCGCCGAGUCCGUGAGGCCAAACGGUAAAAUGUUGACAAAUGUAGUUGCAUGCAGGAUCGACUACAUCAACAAUCACAUCGAUGUGUGUGCCGACAAGAUCAUCAUGCAUUACAGUGUGACAUGCAAAAUAUGGGAUGGUGACUUCCACCACAAAAUCCCGAGGAAGAAUUUUGCUCAACACGGUGAAUUCAAGCUAACACUGAAGAAAUAUGUCAUGUUCCCCAUGUUCCAGGAUCUUGCACCACAUGACACUCAAGACAAGUGUGGUCACCACUAUGCGGUCUGUCUUGACCUGAAGAACCAACGUUUUGAGGUGCUUGAUUCAAUGCGUUCGGAAGCUGAUUCAGAUCUUACUACGCAUGCUGAAUUCUUCAUCAACAACCUCAAAGAGACAUGGAACCGUCACUACAAACAUUCAAAGGUCCAGAUCAGACAUUUCCAGAUUGAGUAUGUGGCGACUGUGAAGCAAGGGAACACUCCGGACUGUGGCUUUCAUGCGCUGGAAUACUUUGCAAAGUGGGAAGGCAGAGUUGUUCCCGCUAUCACAGCUGCAACGGUCGUUGAGCUCCGGAAAAUCCACACAUGGAACUGGUUGACGAAUGAAGAUUUCAACAAGCGGUCCGGAGCACGCGAGUUCGUGGAGGAAGCUGUCAAGAAAAUCAACAAGAAGUACAAGUGA